CUUUUGUGUUGUAUAUUCAUGCUUUGAAACGACCACCCUCUUCGGAUCCAACAUAAGAACAUUCAUUGAUAACCAUUUAGAUGACAUCCAUAAAGGAUGAUCAUCAGAAAUCAUUGGUGUUGGUGGUUCAACCACUUGCCAUCCUGCUUUGUGAAACAUAUCUAUUUCACGGCAGGGACGAUCGGGGUUAGAUAGGACGAGACCAGGUCCAAUCACGUUGAAUGUAGCAUCGAUAUGCAGGGGAUUAGGAUCUUCAAAAGAUACAGUAUGAACUCUGUAGCCUUUUGGAGCCAAAUGUCGUCUCAUCCAUUCGAUACCGAAGUUGUUGG
rnacentral:lncRNA from 1 species